rnacentral:rRNA from 1 species
AGGAUGAACGCUGGCGGCGUGCUUAACACAUGCAAGUCGAACGAUGAAGGAGGAGCUUGCUCCUCCAGAUUAGUGGCGAACGGGUGAGUAAUACAUGAGCAAUGUGCCCUUGACUCUGGGAUAAGCGCUGGAAACGGCGUCUAAUACCGGAUACGACCCUCGGAGGCAUCUCCUGAGGGUGGAAAGACUUCGGUCAAGGAUCAGCUCAUGUCCUAUCAGUUAGUUGGUGAGGUAAUGGCUCACCAAGACGACGACGGGUA